UGCGUAGGGGGCAAGCGUUGUCCGGAUUUAUUGGGCGUAAAGAGCGUGUAGGUGGCCAUGUAGGUCCGCUGUGAAAACUCGAGGCUCAACCUCGAGAUGUCGGUGGAAACCACAUGGCUAGAGUCCGGAAGAGGAGAGUGGAAUUCCUGGUGUAGCGGUGAAAUGCGCAGAUAUCAGGAAGAACACCAAUGGCGAAGGCAGCUCUCUGGGACGGUACUGACACUGAGACGCGAAAGCGUGGGGAGCGAACAGG
rnacentral:rRNA from 1 species